rnacentral:lncRNA from 1 species
UGAGACCUUGUGGGAACACGAAGACAUCACCCUUGUUAAGUGUCUUGGUGAAUAGCUUGUUUUCUCCGUUUGCUUGGUUCGAUGUAACAAAACCAACAUAGAGUGUACCCUCAAAAACCGUUAGGAUCUCGGUAGCACGGGGAUGCGUGUGUGGUGGGUUUUGCCCUUUAGGAGCAUAGUCGAUCCUUGCCAUGGAGAUGCCAAGGGUGUUGAGACCUGUGAGUUUCAUCACGUUGAUCAAUGUAACAUUGGAUCCAGCCUUGCUCUUGGUUGUGUCCAUCGGCUUGUCGAGGUUAGCUUCUAGGAAGAAGUCAUCAACAUUCACAUCCUUAGCAUCCUUGCAGGGGAACCCAUUGACACGUACUGCAUUGAAGAACAUACAAAGGUCAGAUCAAAAGCUAGAAACAUAUAUAUGUACAACAUGAAUGUCUCGGAUCAUUGUUAAUCUGAUGUAACCGCAUGAUCAGUGAAGAAGUACACUACCUGGAGAGUUCCUGUCGGCAACGCAGAAGUCCUGAAGAGGACUGGGAUCAAAAGCCAUGGCCUGAGUAGCGACCAAAGCGAUGAGAGCUGUGGGAAGAAAGAAGUUGGAGGAGGCCAUGUUAAGUUGAUGGAACUUUUGCUUGUGUACAAGUAGUGGUCGAUGAUUCUUGUAUAGCUAUAGUUGAUGCUUUGCCCAUGGAAAUGAUGCAUCCAUAUAUAUAGGCCUCUGAGCAUGAGAUGAUUUUGAAGUGGUCAAUAACAAAAGGCUGAGCUAGCUUGUGACUGGUUCAUCUCCUCUAAAGUCUGAACUGAUCUUGAACUCUUAAUAGAUUGCAUCUGGGAAAGAAACUAUUUAAUUUGAUGGAUUCAAUCUAUCUUAAUUCCCAGUCAACAGCUAGGUUGGCCGACUAAUUAAUUAAUUAGAUUAUUCCAGUGCCUGUCAUGCAUGAUGCAUGCAUUAGAUUUAUUAUGUCUUGCCUGGCUCUGUUAUCAGGUGCAGAGAAACAUAUUAUGAUAAAGAUAGGGAGAUGAAUUUUAUCUCUCAAGAAGAUUUUAAAAAAAUGAUAAGACAAUUAAAUUAAAUUAAAAUAUAUCCCUUUACAAACAUACAAGUUUGAUACGACACCUAUAAGUUGUAAAAAAAUAACCGUGAAUGUACGUUAACUAUUACUAAGAACCGAGUAGAUUGACCAUGUCUUCUCUAUCCAUGUAAAAUAUACUUGGUCCCUUUCGUCUCUGCAUAUUCAGGCAUCCAUGUGUGUUACGGGAAUAUAACGUCUGAAUGUCUGAUUAAUUAGUCAAGAGCUAGCACACAUGCUAAUUAAAAGGGAAGUUGAUAAUGUCAGUAUUGCAGUUAAUUGCUGAAUAUAUCAACACGCUCUCUGUUGCCUACAGCUGCCGAGACAGUUUCAAGCUAAUAACUAAUGGUACUUUGGUUAAUUCAGUUGAAAGCUCAACAGAUCAAUUACAUCAUCAAUUACAUCGGCCGCCGGCUCUUCAUUCUCCUGGCCAGAUGCAUAUGGAUAGCUAGGAGAGGAGUUAAAACAAAUACUAGCUUCCAAUAUGGCUGUGUUUGGCAAAUAGGAUUGAGAAAUAAUAUCCCACCCUCCAAAAGGCAACAUUGCAUCUUAGCCAUCCAUUCUUCACACUUUAUUUAAUCCUAGCCAUUCAUCUAUUUCCAUUUCCCAAUCCGACCUCCCAUAUCCUAUUUGCUAAACAUACCCUAUAUGGAAAUAUUUAUCUUUUUAGCGCUUCUUAUAUUAUACUUCCUGUGUCUCCAGGAGUGUGUUUUGUAUAUAAAAAAAGGGAUUAUAAAAAAAAAGUACCACAAUUUUUUUAAGUAAAAAACUUUCAAAUAUAAUUGUAGUAUAGUUGUAAUUUAAUUCUACAAUAAUUAUACUAUAACUACAAUGUGACUUGUAAGGAUUAAAAAAUAUGCAACUUUAUAGCUAAGUUAUAUCAAGAUUAGAAUGUAAGCAUAUUGUAAGUACAAUGUAGUUACAAUGUAACUAUAGUGUAAUUAUAUUAUAGUUAUACUACAACUAUGCCAUAGUUAUAUUUGAAAGCUUUUACCAAAAAAAAAUUGCGACAGUUUUUUUUUAGCAAUUUCCAAAAUAUAGAUUUAGUGAAAACACUUCAAGCCGGGCGUUGGAUCUGGGAGAAAAAACCGGCUCCCCGCCAAUCAUUCCCAUCCACUCAUUCAAGUAUUUCUCUCUCCCUUGUCUCGCUCGCAUCUCUCUCCCUUAUCGCGCACUCGCUUACUCUACUAUCUCUCUCUCUCUCUCUCUCUGUGUGUGUGUGUGUCUCCCACCGAGGCUUUGAUGCAGCGAUGACGCGUCCCCAUAAGGGCAGCUAGCGCCGAUGGCAACGGGAGGAUCAACUACAACGACGACAACGAGGAGGAGAGCAACCCAUCGUGGCAAAGCAGCAGAUGGAGCAAGUGGUGGUCACGCCAUCGUAGCUGACAACAAGUCAAGGUCAUUUAUGGAAAGAAUCACCGGGUCAUCACAUUGCAGCGUUUGAGGUUGUCGAAGAAAGCCCGAUCCAACCAUUAGAGGGGAGGAGGAAGUCAUAUAUAGCCAAUACAUUUUUUUUAAUGUUUAAAAUUUCUAAUGUUUAAGCCAAUGUUUUUUUUAUGUUUCUUUUUGUUAGAUUGUAAUGUUGUACUAGGAAUUUUAAUGUUGUUUCAUAUUUUUGUCUUCAGUUCAUUGUAAUGUCGUUUCAUGUCCGAUCGAUUAGGUCACCAACUCCGUUGUUGGCCAAAUGAGAUUCAGGAUCAGAUGGUCUUUAAGGGGUUCUUUAGGACGUGCGUGGUAAUUGUAAAGUGUGAAAUUCCUACAUUCAAAGGAGUAAUAAACUCUUGAGUCUUGAGCAAAUCGUAGGUUUGAAAGUAAGACACUACAGGUUGAUUAUUGGAGUUAUUGAAUGGUUCACACCUAUAAACCGUUUACUAGUUAUUGAACAGUUCACAUCUAUAAACCGCCCACUAAGCUAGCCAAGCAAUAAAAAGUCAACCAAAAUUUCAUUUCUUACAUAAUUUGUUUAGAUUUUGUUGGUUUUUAAAGUAAUUAAUGGUCAUGUAUAAAGGAAUUUAGUUCGCAUGUACAAACAUUUUUGUUAUCUUUCUCAAGCAUGUAGGGAUAAUUGAGAAAGAAUAGAUUAAUUUGGAUGAGUGCUAUGAGCUUGUGAACAACAUAAGAAAUAUAAGUACUGAACUAGCUAGGGCAAUGCUUCCCCAGUAAUAUGAUUUUAAUUAUCCAUCUUUAUGAGUGUUAAAAAAGUACCCAAGAAAUCAACGAUAUUAAAUUAAUACCCCAGAUCAUACAUCAUGUGACAAAUAUAUAUGUGUACUGAUAUACAUUAUUCAUAAAAAGAAUCAUAUAAAAUAUCGAGUUUAGGAUUACAUGAAGUAUACAAUAUUUAGCUAAUAUAAUAAUCAACAAACUCUUUUUACUACCAAUCACUAGUUUUGAACCUUAUCAAGCAUCAAUAAUUUAGUUAUGGUUGUUCUCCCAGAACUGAGCUUGGAGCCAAUCCACAGCUUUCUUGUCCACCUGAAAUGCCUUAGCAAGAACGUCAUCCGAGAUUGGUGAAUUUGAUCCAAAUACUGCAUUAGCAAUGGUAAUCGCUCCAGGGUUCUGGCUGCUAAGUGCAGCGAUGGCAACUGCUGGCUUAUCAUAGCUUGGAUUGAACUGGAAGUGAAUGAGACCUUGUGGGAACACGAAGACAUCACCCUUGUUAAGUGUCUUGGUGAAGAGCUUGUUUUCUCCGUUUGCUUGGUUCGAUGUAACAAAACCAACAUAGAGUGUACCCUCAAGAACAGUUAGGAUCUCGGUAGCACGGGGAUGCGUGUGUGGUGGGUUUUGCCCUUUAGGAGCAUAGUCGAUCCUUGCCAUGGAGAUGCCAAGGGUGUUGAGACCUGCGAGUUUCAUCACAUUGAUCAAUGUAACAUUGGAUCCAGCCUUGCUCUUGGUUGUGUCCAUCGGCUUGUCGAGGUUAGCUGCUAGGAAGAAGUCAUCAACAUUCACAUCUUUAGCAUCCUUGCAAGGGAACCCAUUGACAUGUACUACAUUGAAGAACAUACAAAGGUCAGAUCGAAAGCUAGAAACAUAUAUAUGUACAACAUGAAUAUCUCAUAUCAUUGUUAAUCUGAUGUAACUGCAUGAUCAGUGAAGAAGUACACUACCUGGAGAGUUCCUGUCGGCAACGCAGAAGUCCUGAAGAGGACUGGGAUCAGAAGCCAUGGCCUGAGUAGCGACCAAAGCGAUGAGAGCUGUGAGAAGAAAGAAGUUCGAGGAGGCCAUGUUAAGUUGAUGGAACUUUUGCUUGUGUACAAGUAGUGGUCGAUGCUUCUUGUAUAGCUGUAGUCUAUGCUUUUGUCCAUGGAAGCAUCCAUAUAUAUAGGCCUCUGAGCAUGAAAUGAUUCUGAAGUGGUCAAUAAGAAAAGGAUGAGCUAGCUAGUGACUUGUUCAUCUCCUCAGAAGUCUGAACUGGUCUUGAACUCUUAAUGAUUGCAUCUGGGAAAGAAACUAUUUAAUUUGAUGGAUUCAAGCUAUCUUAAUUCCCAGUCAACAGCUAGGUUGGCCGACUAAUUAAUUAAUUAGAUUAUUCCAGUGCCUGUCAUGCAUGAUGCAUGCAUUAGAUUGAUGAUGUCUUGGCUGUCUUUGUUAUCAGGUGAAUAGAAACACAGAGCACUUUACUACCAUUUUCAACCUUACCAAGUUUUAGCAUUGCUAAAUUUUGGUAUGUUUGCUAAAAUUUUAACAAGGUUGCUAAAUUUUGGCAAGAUUUUAUAUGUGCUUACUAAAAAUUUAGCAACAAACUAAACGUAGUUAAAAUUUUAGCAACUUUAUCAGAAAAUGGCAUCAAAGUGAACAGGCUCAUAUUAUGAUAAAGAUAGGGAGAUGGAUUUUUAUCUCUCAAGAAGAUUUAAAAAAAUGAUAAGAUAAUUAAAUUAAAUUAAAAUAUAUCUCUUUACAAAUAUACAAUACAAGUUUAAUAUGACAUUCAAGUUGUAACAAAAAUAACCGUGAAUGUACGUUAACGAGUAGAUUGACCAUGUCUUCUCUAUCCAUGUAAAGUAUACUUGGUCCCUUUCGUCUCCGCAUAUUCAGGCAUCCAUGUGUGUUAUGGCAAUAUAACGUCUGAAUGUCUGAUUAAUUAGUCAAGAGCUAGCACCCAUGCUAAUUAAAAGGGAAGUUGAUAAUGUCAGUAUUGCAGUUAAUUGCUGAAUAUAUCAACACGCUCUCUGUUGCCUGCAGCUGCCGAGACAGUUUCAAGCUAAUAACUAUUGGUAGUUUGGUUAAUUCAGUUCAAAGCUCACCAGAUCAAUUACAUCAUCAAUUACAUCGGCCGGCGGCUCUUCAUUCCCCUGGCCAGCUGCAUAUGGAUAGCUAGGAGAGGAGUUAAAACAAAUACUAGCUUCCAAUAUAUAGAAAUAUUUAUCUUUUUAGCGCUUGUUAUAUUAUCCUUCCUCUAUCUUCAGGAGUGUGUUUUGCAUAAAAAAGGGAUUAUCUAAAAAAAGGUACCACAAUUUUUUAAAGUGAAAAACUCUCAAAUAUAACUGCAGUAUAGUUGUACUAUAAUUCUACAAUAAUUAUACUAUAACUACAAUGUAACUUGUAAAGAUUAAAAAAAUAUGCAACUUUACAGCUAAGUUAUAUAGAGAUUAGAAUGUAGGUAUAUUGUAAUUACAAUGUAGUUACAAUGUAAGUAUAGUGUAAUUAUAUUAUAGUUACUACAACUAUACCAUAGUUAUAUUUGAAAGCAUUUACCAAAAUGAAAUUGUGAUUAGUUUUUUUAGCAAUUUCCCAAAAAAGUAUAAAAAAGUAUAGUUCUAGUGAAAACGCUCCAAGCUGGGCACUGGAUCUAGGAGAAAAAAACCGGCUUCCUGCCAAUCAUUCCCAUCCACUCAUUCAAUCAUUUCUCUCUCCCUUGUCUCACUCACAUCUCUCCCCCUUAUCGCGCACUUGAUUACUCUACUCUCUCUCUCUCUGUGUGUCUGUCUCUAUCUCCCACCAAGGCUUUGAUGUGGCGAUGAUGACAUGUCACCAUAAGGGUAGCCGAUGCCGAUGGCAACGGGAGGACAACUACAACGACGACAGCGAGGAGGAGGGAAACCUAUCGUAGAGAAGCAGCGGACGGAGCAAGUGGUGGUCAUGCCAUCGCAGUUGACAACAAGGAAGUCAAGGUCAUUUAUAGAAAGAAUCACCGGGUCAUCACAUUGCAGCGUUUGAGGUUGUCGAAGAAAGCCCGAUCCAACCAUUGGAGGGGAGGAGGAAGUCAGAUAUAGCCGAUACAGUUUUUUUAAUGUUUAAAAUUUCUAAUGUUUAAGCCAAUGUUUUUCAUGUUUCUUUUUGUUAGAUUGUAAUGUUGUACUAGGCAUUUUAAUGUUGUUUCAUAUUUUUGUCUUCAGUUCAUUGUAAUGUUGUUUCAUGUACGAUCGAUUAGGUCACCAACUCCAUUGUUGGCCAAAUGAGAUUUAGGAUCAGAUGGCCUUCAAGGGGUUCUUUAGAACGUGCGUGGUAAUUGUGAAGUAUACUCGUAAGAAUUGAACGAUUUUUUUGUGAAAAUCUUAUGAAAUUACUACAUUCAAAAGAGUAAUAAACUCUUGAGUCUCGAGUGGUGUGUAUCGUCACCUCUACUGAAUCGUAGAUUUGAAAGUAAGACACUACAUGUUGAUUAUUAGAGUUAUUGAACGGUUCACACCUAUAAACCAUUCACUAGUUAUUAAACAAUUCACACCUAUAAACCGCUCACUAAACUAGCGAAGUAAUAAAAAAUCAAACAAAAUUUCAUUUCUUACAUAAUUUGUUUAUAUUAUAUUGGUUUUUAAAGUAAUUAAUGCAUGGUUAUAUAUAAAGGAAUUUAGUUCGCAUGUACAAACAUUUUUUUUAUGUUUCUCAAGCAUGAUAACUACAAGAAUUGAAAAAGAAGAGACUAAUUUGGAUGCUUGUUACGAUCUUGUGAGCAACACAACAAAUAUAAGUACUGAACGAGGGCAAUACAUCCCUAGUAAUAUGAUUUUAAUUAUGUAUCAUUCAGUGUUAAAAAGGUACCAAGAAAUCAAAUAUAUUAAAUUAAUAUCCCAGAUCAUACAUCACGUAACAUAUGUAUAUGUGCGUAGUGGUAUACAUUAUUUCGUAAAAAGAAUCAAAUAACAUAUUUUUAGGAUAACAUGAAGUAUACAAUUUUUAGCUACUAACAAUCAACAAACCAUUUUACUACAGAUAACUAAUUUUCAACAGAUAAGCAUCAAUAAUUUAAUUUAGUUAUGGUUAUUCUCCCAAAAUUGAGCUUGUAGCCAAUCCACUGCCUUUUUGUCCACUUGAAAUGCCUUAGCAAGAACAUCAUCCGAGAUUGGUGGAUUUGAUCCAAAUACUGCAUUAGCAAUGGUAAUCGCCCCAGGGUUUUGGCUACUAAGUGCAACGAUAGCAGCUGCCGGCUUAUCAUAACUUGGAUUGAACUGGAAGUGAAUGAGACCCUCUGGGAACACAAAGACAUCUCCUUUGUUGAGUGUCUUGGUGAAGAGCUUGUUUUCUCCGUUUGCUUGGUUAGAUGUAACAAAUCCAACAUAAAGUGAGCCCUCAAUUACACUUAGGAUCUCAGUGGCACGAGGGUGUGUGUGGGGUGGGUUUUGUCCUUUAGGAGCAUAGUCGAUCCUCGCCAUGGAGAUACCAAGGGUGUUGAGACCUGCAAGUUUCAUCACAUUGAUUAAGGUAACGUUGGAUCCAGCCUUGCUCUUGGUUAUGUCCAUCGGCUUGUCGAGGUUAGCUGCUAGGAAGAAGUCAUCGACACUCACAUCCUUAGCAUCCUUGCAAGGGAACCCAUUGACACGCACUGCAUAUUGAAAAACAUAUAUGGGUCAGAAACCUAGAAACUUAUAUAUACACAUUACGGAUGUUUGAGAUAAUCAUCAAUUUGAUGCAAUUGGAUGAUCGAUGACGAAAAACUAUA